rnacentral:misc_RNA from 1 species
CCCAAAUCUUGCCCAGUAAUCUUAAACAACAGAAGGCCUUAACAAGGAGAAACAGAAAAAUAACAAAGAUGAAAGUAAAAGAAAAGGCAGGGAACUGCACUCUCUUCUCAAAUCAUUUGAUAUUUACAAAAUGUCACAGUUGAUGUAGUUUCUGCUAGAGAUCUAUAGGAACAUUAACCUGCCACACCUUGAUAUCACAAUCCAAACUCCCACUGUAAAUAAGGUACGAUGUAUGAGAUGGGUUGUGUCCGUCAAUUGUUGCACUCAAGCACUUGACAGGGCCUUUAUGCCCUUCCAACACUGCUAAACACGAAUAGUUCCUUUCAACCCGUCUCCAAACUCUUAUGGUUUUGUCCGCAGAACCGCUACAUACCAAAUCAGACACAACCACUAAGCACAAUAUGGACUCUGUAUGCCCUCUAAGAGCACCCAGAACCACCAUGCCACCAUCGGCACCAUCCUUUGCCCAGACCACUAUAGACCGGUCACAAGCACCGGAGUACAGAAUAGACCCAUCAGUGCUUAGUGCCAGGGCAUUGAUCCCUGAGUUGUGUUUCUCUAACGUAGCCACUAGGGAGUGCUUCUUCUCUCCUGAACUUUUCCUCCACACCUUGAUUUUCCUGUCUGCUGAUCCUGUAUAAACAUCCCCAUCACUUGAGGCUGCCACUGCAUUUAUGGCGUCAUCAUGUGCACUUGAUACUGACUCCAAACAUUUGAAGUCACUUGUCCUCCAUAUCUUGAGUGUCCUAUCCCAUGAAACGGAAUAGAGAAGAGACUCGUCCUUUGACAAGGCAAGUGCAGAGACUGUGUCUACGUGAUGAACCCAUGUGCAUGUUUUGUGCCUUCUAAUCUGAAUAUGGUUCUUUGGUAACAGAAUAUUUAAAGCUCGAUCACCAAGUGUGGGUAGCGUGGCUAAAUGGGUAUACUUCUGUAUAUCAGGUUCUUGGCUACUGGUUUUCCAUGCUCGGAUUUUGUGGUCUUGAUGUGCACUAAAGAGUUUAUCAGCUAAAACUACUAGGGACUUCACUGCACCUUUCCCCACGGCUACAAUGUUGUUGCAUUGGUUUUCAUGAUUUAGUUCCGAGUCUAGAUGGUUUCGCUUCCAAGCUCGGAUUUCUUUGUCUGAGGAGCCGCUGUAGAGGAACUUUUCAGUUAGGGUGAGAGAGGAUACAUAGGUGGUGUGACCCUUGAGAGUGGCGAGGCAGUGGUGGUGGGUGUUGGAUAGAAAGUGUUGGUGAUGGCGUUGUGAUGAGGACGAGAGUGAAGGAAUUGACGGGAGACUUAGCUGUGAGCAAAGAGAUGGUAGAUUUGAUUGAUGGCGGUUAGACUGGGAUUGGGAAUCAUACAUCGAGUGGCAUGGCAUGGUUCCAACGUCUGAGAGAAAGAGAAUGAGUAGAAGAUGGUGAAGUGAGUUAAUUAUACAGAGAAUGAACAGAAUUACUGAGAUUAAGUUAUUAUUACAACAGAAGAGACAAUUAGAUUAAUAGAAAAUGCAUGUUUAGCAAAAAAGUGAAGCAAGAAUGGCCCACUUAACCUUUAUAACGCCUGGGUGGAUUGUUCGAGUUGGUUCUGCACAGCCUGAAGGCAUUUAUUUGUUAUUGCACUGUUUCAGGGAACAGAAAAUUUGAUAAUUCCAUUGCAAGAUCUAUGAGGAUAUUUAAUUUGCGAAAUGAUUCCUAUAUCCAUCAAAAACAGAAAAGAAAGGAUAGUGAUGUAAGUUUCAUCCUCAAUUCCUCAU